GUUUUAGGCCUGACUUCUCUAAGGACAGUGUGUAUGGGCCUGUUUUCCCCCAGUACAUAGGGUCAGAGUCCUGCCAGCAAUAGCCAAAACAUGGUAGAAUCAGUCAAGAGAUCUAACAAAAGUGCUCUUGGAGGAAGAACUUCAGAGAAAGAAGCAAAUUUUAUGCUGAGAAAUCAUGAUUCCACACUCUGGAGUGAGAACUCUAGAUAGUUUACUCUGUGGUCACUUACUCGUAUUUCUACAUAGAUGGAAGGUCUCGGCCCUGGAGUUCUGGUCUACCUUUCUGCUCCUUUUUCUCCAAGGAACAGACCAGCUUCCGCAGGAAUGAACCCAGAAAACAGUCUACAACUAUAUUUCCAGCACAGGGGCUGGCACACACUGAGUGCUGAACUGAACUGAACAGAUGCUGUAAGCAAGAAAGAGUCAAAUUUUGCAAGAUUUUACUGAGGAGGAAGGCACUACCUCAAAGCCAGCAAAAGAAGAGUUUCUAGAGAAAGGAGAGGAUUGAUGGGUUCACUGGUGCUCACUGGAAACUAUCAAAUUUGUAAUGUGAGCAUCCCAACAUGCAGAGGAACCAGAAGUUCAAUAUUUGAGCUGAUUAAGGAUCAAUCAGCCAGUUCCCUGGGCAGGGGAGAGACUCUGCUUCCACAUUAUCAGGGACUCAGAGAAGCUGGAUAAACGUCUCUGCUUUCUUUCCUCUGGUCCAUCCUGCUCCAGUAUCAGUGGAACUCCCAGCUAGAGGAAGAAUGUACUUCAUUUUUAACUCUGUACCAGUCUUGAGAUUUCCUUUGGCAAAAAGCAAAAACAAAAACACGACCACCACCAACACAAAACUCAGCAGAAUUAAGAUUUCCCCCAUACACUUCCUGUGGUUUCACAACCGACUGCCAUAGCUCAUGUUACCCUCGUGGCUUGG
rnacentral:lncRNA from 1 species